ACACCACGCUGAGUCCCCCAACCUAAUCCCCUUCCUCUCCACCCGGCGGCGGUCGAUCGGCCGCCCACCAUGGCACCGCCGGCGCCGUACAUCGUCGACGAGAUCCUGGAGGAGAUCUUCCUUCGCCUACCCACCCCGGCCGCGCUCGUCCGCGCCUCAACCGCCAGCCCCCGCUUCCGCCGCAUCAUCACGGCGCGCUCCUUCCUCCGCCGCUUCCGCGCUCUCCAUCCGCCUCCACUCGUGGGAUUCGCCCUUGAGAAACGUGGCUUCCACCACGCCCAAGAACCCCAUCCCUCGGCCCCGCUUGCCCGCGCCCUUGCCGACCGCGCAGAUUUCACCUACUCCUUCGUCCCCAAGCCCGAUGAUGAUUGGCUCACCGGCCUCAGCCCCUGGUGCCACCGCGACGUUCGCGACGGCCGCGUCCUCCUCGAGUGCAGCUACCUGUGGGACAUCAAGCCAGUCUUUACAAACCUGGCGGUGUGCGACCCCUGGUCACGGAGAUCCACGCUGCUCUUUCCCAUACCAGAGGAGAUGACCGCCCAGCAAGAGCGCCUUAUCGAGUUCGAGCCAAUGCUUGCUCCCAUUGGCGAGGAUGAGGACGAGGUUGAGGAUGAGACCUCGUUCAAGGUGAUCUGCACGGCGCGCUACGAAACCAAGCUGGUCACGUUUGUCUACUCUUCCGUCGCCGUUGAAUGGUGUAUAGCUGCAUCUCCCAGCUGGAACUCUUUGGGCACAGAUGAGCCCCCUGGGAAAGGCUUUUCCCAUUUCAGUUAUUUGCGUGGCUGCUUCUACUGGAGCUCUCUUUGGAAAGACAAGCUUCUCGUGCUCGACACACGCACAAUGGAGUUCUCCACUGUCAACAUUCUCACCGGCUACCAUGUGCAGCUUAUAAACCAGCCUGGUCAGAGUGUGUGCAUGUCUACCAUUGUUGAUGGUACAAAAGGAGCCCUUGAGAUGUUUACUCUUGUUGGUCAUUGCAAGCCUACCUCGUUUUAUAUUUAUCAUACAAGUCAGCAAAACAAUGGCGGACCUUCCAACGGGUGGCAGCUGAAAAAUGUUAUAGCAUUGCCUCCCCGAUGUCUCUAUUAUACCGUGGGUGCAGCUGAGGGAUUCUUAUUCCUUCGAGGUGUUCGAGAAGCUCGGUGGGGUGACAAUGGGGUCUUUCCUGUUGAUGAUAUCGAUUUUUUCUCUCUGGAUGUCAAGACUUCAGAACUUAAGAAGGUCUGCAGCUGCAGGGAAACAAUCUUUAAUCAUCCCAAUCGUGCUCGCCCAUUAUUUGGCUUCCCGCCAUCAUUGUCGAAACCGACCCUAUGAACUACAAAGCGUGUGCACUUGUGCGGGAUUCAACUACUUCGCGAAUCGCGAGGCAAAUCGAGCGGGCGAGAGGGCUUGGCAGGGGUGAAUCUCACUUGCUUUCGGGAUCUCUUACCUGGGCCACGCAUCUGGCGAUAUCGAGUAGAGACGGAGGAUGCUUAAGAUGAUGCGGUGCGACCAAUAUGCUGGCUGGAUUUAGUACUGGAGUGUUGGCAAUGUUACUUUUGUUUAGCACUAAUAUGUAAGAGACGUGCUGUUUUCCUGUGACCUAUUAUUACGGUUGUGUGCAUUGUCACUCUCUGCUUGUUAUUGUAUGGAUCUCAUUGUCACUCUCUGCAGUGUUCAGCUUGUUUA